rnacentral:pre_miRNA from 1 species
GAUUUCAACUGAAAAAGUUAUCAACAACAAAGUUGAAUAACUCAUAAAGAUCUAAAACUUUUAUUUUGAUCAUUUUUUCGUCCGAUAAAGUGAUACUAACAUUGUUCACAAAAUUGACGUAUCUCUUAUCUGGUUUUAUAAACUAUAACACAUAUAUGUAAAAUUUGUGAACAAUAUUAUUCACACUUUGUCGGAUGAAGAAAUGAUAAAAAUAAAAGUUUUAGAUCUUGAUAAGUUAUACAAUUUUGUUGUUGAUGACUUUUUCAAUUGAAAUC